UUGAAAUUAAUUUUCAUAAAUUAAAUUGUAAGUUUCAAACUUGUAGAAAUCCUUUUCUGUCCAUUUUACUAGUCAAUGUUUGUGGCUAGGGGCAGUGGUAGUGCAUCAACAACUUUGUUAGCAGAACUUUAACUGCCAUACAUGAUACCGCCUAUAGUUACUAUUUAGAUCUACUAUAACUGCAUGUUAGCCACUUUAGCAUUACUUCUCAACUUUUGAUUUUAUUUGCUAUAGAGACUUGGUAUCCUAUAAUCAAACUACUCUGAAAGUUAGCUGCAUGACCUUAAUAUUUACACUAAAAGUACAAGGAAUUUCAUUCCCAUAUCAGAAAGCCCCUAGUAAAAUAAUUAUUUGCCAUGGUAAAUCAUAGAUGUGUGGAGACAUGAAAAUCAUGCAACAGUGAUAAUUGAUGUGAAUUAUUGACUGAUUUUGUGGUUGCUUUUCUUUGUGUGGCCACCUUUCCUUUACUGUUAUUUGUGGUGGUUACAUCUUCUUUCCAUUAUAAACAGUGUGUUAGGCUUUCCCCCCUGCUUGUCAGUAUUUUUCUAUUAGUCCUUUAGGAUGCAAAGUCUUAAUGUUUUAUGAGCUUUAGUUGUCUUUACUUCAAGUAGCUGGAAUUUUCUGUGCAAAAAGAAAACUCAGUUGUUUUUGAUAUUUGCAUUUCUUUUUUAUUACACUAAUCUAAUAUUGUUUAAUCGUAACUUUUUAAAGCUUUUUGUUUGAGGCAUGUUUUUCACUGAUGUUUCAGGCUUCUCCUAUC
rnacentral:misc_RNA from 1 species